GACGAACGCUGGCGGCGUGCCUAAUACAUGCAAGUUGAGCGAUGAAGAUUGGUGCUUGCACCAAUUUGAAGAGCAGCGAACGGGUGAGUAACGCGUGGGGAAUCUGCCUUUGAGCGGGGGACAACAUUUGGAAACGAAUGCUAAUACCGCAUAACAACUUUAAACAUAAGUUUUAAGUUUGAAAGAUGCAAUUGCAUCACUCAAAGAUGAUCCCGCGUUGUAUUAGCUAGUUGGUGAGGUAAAGGCUCACCAAGGCGAGGAUACAUAGCCGACCUGAGAGGGUGAUCGGCCACAUUGGGACUGAGACACGGCCCAAACGCCUACGGGAGGCAGCAGUAGGGAAUCUUCGGCAAUGGACGAAAGUCUGACCGAGCAACGCGGCGGGAGUGAAGAAGGUUGUCGGAUCGUAAAACUCGGUUGGUAGAGAAGAACGUUGGUGAGAGUGGAAAGCUCAGCAAGUGACGGUAACUACCCAGAAAGGGACGGCUAACUACGUG
rnacentral:rRNA from 1 species